rnacentral:rRNA from 1 species
GACGAACGCUGGCGGCGUGCUUAACACAUGCAAGUCGAACGGAAAGGCCCUGCUUUUGUGGGGUGCUCGAGUGGCGAACGGGUGAGUAACACGUGAGUAACCUGCCCUUGACUUUGGGAUAACUUCAGGAAACUGGGGCUAAUACCGGAUAGGAGCUCCUGCUGCAUGGUGGGGGUUGGAAAGUUUCGGCGGUUGGGGAUGGACUCGCGGCUUAUCAGCUUGUUGGUGGGGUAGUGGCUUACCAAGGCUUUGACGGGUAGCCGGCCUGAGAGGGUGACCGGCCACAUUGGGACUGAGCUACGGCCCAGACUCCUACGGGGGGCAGCAGUGGGGAAUAUUGCACAAUGGGCGGAAGCCUGAUGCAGCAACGCCGCGUGCGGGAUGACGGCCUUCGGGUUGUAAACCGCUUUCGCCUGUGACGAAGCGUGAGUGACGGUAAUGGGUAAAGAAGCACCGGCUAACUACGUG